rnacentral:rRNA from 1 species
UACGAAGGGGGCUAGCGUUGCUCGGAAUCACUGGGCGUAAAGGGUGCGUAGGCGGAUUUCUAAGUCAGGGGUGAAAGGCCUGAGGCUCAACCUCAGAACUGCCUUUGAUACUGGAAGUCUUGAGACCGGAAGAGGUAAGUGGAACUGCGAGUGUAGAGGUGAAAUGCAUAGAUAUGACUUAGAACACCAAUUGCGAAGGCAGCUUACUAAGCAAAUAUUGACGCUGAGGCACGAAAGCGUGGGGAUCAAACAGG